rnacentral:rRNA from 1 species
AUUGAACGCUGGCGGCAGGCCUAACACAUGAAAGUCGAGCGAUCGGCGGACGGGUGAGUAAUGUCUGGGAAACUGCCGAUGGAGGGGGAUAACUACUGGAACCGGUAGCUAAUACCGCAUACCAUCAGUUUUUCCCAGAUGGGUUUAGAUAGUAGGUGGGGUAACGGCGCAUCUAGGCGACGAUCCCUAGCUGGUCUGAGAGGAGGACCAGCAACACUGGAACUGAGACACGGGCCAGACUCCUACGGGAGGCAGCAGUGGGGAAUAUUGCACAAGGGGCGCAAGCCGGAUGCAGCCAUGCCGCGUGUGUGAAGAAGGCCUUCGGGUUGUAAAGCACUUUCAGCGGGGAGGCGUUACCCGCAGAAGAAGCACCGGCUAACUCCGUGCCAGCAGCCGCGGUAAUUC